GUGUCAUUAGUUUUUUCUCUAAUCAAAAAACAUGCAGCAGUAGAAUAAUGUUUUCCCUUUCAGCAAAGAGAAACAAGCUGCAAGAUCAGGAGCCAGGUAAUGAGGGGAGGCACUGCCAGUGUACAGAAGAUUGCAGUUAUGGCAUAUUUUGCAUCAAGCUACAGCGAACGCAGUGGGAAACCAGACAGUUAAAACUGUCUUGCUGGCAAGAAAACGACUCCAAAUAGGGACUUUGCAACAUAAGUUUAAGCCUGCCCACGAUCUUGCAACUGAAACAAUAACGGCUGAUUUGCCCCCCAAUCCCCCCUACACUGAGGAUGGUCAGCACAGCUGAGCAGAGCGGAGGCAGACACAGCUCCUGUUUUGGACAAGGGAGCAGCAAUGUCUGCUCCACCUGCGAAGGAUGAUGGUGGCUGCUGAGCUGCAUUGACCUGCAAGUACAAAGGCAAGGCUAACAACACAUGUUAAAUCUCAGGUGGGUCUUACAUGGGCAGAAAAUCCUUCCUUUUUGUAGUAAAUAUGCUGUCAAAUACACUGGCAAGCAGAGGAGGAGCAGGAGAUGUUGGUGUCCCUUAAGGGACUGGGUGAGCUUUUUAAAAGGGCGGUCAUAGCACAGCUGGGCUGCUCAGAUGUGCGGCGGUGAGUUCAUAUUUCCAAGGUUUGCUGCAGCUGGCGGACAGCUUGAGGAGAGCUCUCUGCCGGGGCCAGGGCUGCGUGGCUGCUGAGGGUGAAUCUCCUUCACUCCCCGAGUUUUCAUUCCACGUGC